rnacentral:sRNA from 1 species
AUUCCUACGUACCGGGCCGUGCUGCUUAUGGCGGCGCUGGAGAGGGGGCGCUGAGCUGUUGGGGUUUUCCCUUAGAAACACCCAGAUGGCGGCCGUCUUGCUUAACUCACAGGUGAAGCAGAGAACGCUCCCUGAAACAGGCUUGAAUCUGCAAAGAAUAUCUGAACGUUGUUGGUAUGAAGUGUAACAGAACAGACUUUACCACCUGAAACUGCUGCUUCAAGUUCAGAUCAGGCAAGGAACAAACCUCGUAACAACUAACAAGACCAAAGAAGAGUACACUUAAGUUGAAGACACAACACUUGAUCUGAAACAAGAAGUUUGUGCCUACUCAACAGCUUUGAAAGAGCACUUCCCAACGCUGCUAGUAGUCUUUGUUUUCUUCAGUGCUGUACUGUGAGAUUGCCCGGUACAGCAGCAGUUGUAUUCUUUAUUAGCUUGGUAGAUCAUUUUCUCUCGCUCUUUUUUUUAAUACUAGCAACUUUCAUCCUUUGAAACGUGUGCUGAAAAAGAAGAAUCAGCAAAUACUACUGAAAGUGCAAUAUUUGAUUAUCACUGCGAG